UGAGGAAUAUUGGUCAAUGGGCGAAAGCCUGAACCAGCCAAGUAGCGUGAGGGAAGACUGCCCUACGGGUUGUAAACCUCUUUUGUUUGGGAAUAAAGUGCGGGACGCGUCCCGCAUUGCAUGUACCAUUUGAAUAAGGACCGGCUAAUUCCGUGCCAGCAGCCGCGGUAAUACGGAAGGUCCGGGCGUUAUCCGGAUUUAUUGGGUUUAAAGGGAGCGCAGGCCGCCGGGCAAGCGUGUUGUGAAAUGCAGUCGCUCAACGUCUGCACUGCAGCGCGAACUGCCCAGCUUGAGUGCGCGCAACGUUGGCGGAAUUCGCCGUGUAGCGGUGAAAUGCUUAGAUAUGGCGAAGAACUCCGAUUGCGAAGGCAGCUGACGGGUGCGUAACUGACGCUCAUGCUCGAAAGUGCGGGUAUCGAACA
rnacentral:rRNA from 1 species